rnacentral:rRNA from 1 species
CACGCCGUAAACGGUGGGCACUAGGUGUGGGUUCCAUUCCACGGAAUCCGUGCCGAAGCUAACGCAUUAAGUGCCCCGCCUGGGGNAUGCAACGCGAAGAACCUUACCUGGGUUUGACAUAUGCCGGAAACACCUAGAGAUAGGUGCCCCGCAAGGCCGGUUUACAGGUGG